rnacentral:tRNA from 2 species
GCAUUGGUGGUUCAAUGGUAGAAUUCUCGCCUGCCACGCGGGAGGUCCGGGUUCGAUUCCCGGCCAAUGCA